AUUGGUGUGGCAGACCUCGGCUAGUGCUAAAGAUCUAAGCUCUUUUCAUAGAGGUUCAAAUCCUCUCACCAAUU
rnacentral:tRNA from 1 species